rnacentral:rRNA from 1 species
AGAGUUUGAUCAUGGCUCAGAUUGAACGCUGGCGGCAGGCCUAACACAUGCAAGUCGAACGGUAACAGGAAACAGCUUGCUGUUUCGCUGACGAGUGGCGGACGGGUGAGUAAUGUCUGGGAAACUGCCUGAUGGAGGGGGAUAACUACUGGAAACGGUAGCUAAUACCGCAUAACGUCGCAAGACCAAAGAGGGGGACCCUCGGGCCUCUUGCCAUCGGAUGUGCCCAGAUGGGAUUAGCUUGUUGGUGGGGUAACGGCUCACCAAGGCGACGAUCCCUAGCUGGUCUGAGAGGAUGACCAGCCACACUGGAACUGAGACACGGUCCAGACUCCUACGGGAGGCAGCAGUGGGGAAUAUUGCACAAUGGGCGCAAGCCUGAUGCAGCCAUGCCGCGUGUAUGAAGAAGGCCUUCGGGUUGUAAAGUACUUUCAGCGGGGAGGAAGGGAGUAAAGUUAAUACCUUUGCUCAUUGACGUUACCCGCAGAAGAAGCACCGGCUAACUCCGUGCCAGCAGCCGCGGUAAUACGGAGGGUGCAAGCGUUAAUCGGAAUUACUGGGCGUAAAGCGCACGCAGGCGGUUUGUUAAGUCAGAUGUGAAAUCCCCGGGCUCAACCUGGGAACUGCAUCUGAUACUGGCAAGCUUGAGUCUCGUAGAGGGGGGUAGAAUUCCAGGUGUAGCGGUGAAAUGCGUAGAGAUCUGGAGGAAUACCGGUGGCGAAGGCGGCCCCCUGGACGAAGACUGACGCUCAGGUGCGAAAGCGUGGGGAGCAAACAGGAUUAGAUACCCUGGUAGUCCACGCCGUAAACGAUGUCGACUUGGAGGUUGUGCCCUUGAGGCGUGGCUUCCGGAGCUAACGCGUUAAGUCGACCGCCUGGGGAGUACGGCCGCAAGGUUAAAACUCAAAUGAAUUGACGGGGCCCGCACAAGCGGUGGAGCAUGUGGUUUAAUUCGAUGCAACGCGAAGAACCUUACCUGGUCUUGACAUCCACGGAAGUUUUCAGAGAUGAGAAUGUGCCUUCGGGAACCGUGAGACAGGUGCUGCAUGGCUGUCGUCAGCUCGUGUUGUGAAAUGUUGGGUUAAGUCCCGCAACGAGCGCAACCCUUAUCCUUUGUUGCCAGCGGUCCGGCCGGGAACUCAAAGGAGACUGCCAGUGAUAAACUGGAGGAAGGUGGGGAUGACGUCAAGUCAUCAUGGCCCUUACGACCAGGGCUACACACGUGCUACAAUGGCGCAUACAAAGAGAAGCGACCUCGCGAGAGCAAGCGGACCUCAUAAAGUGCGUCGUAGUCCGGAUUGGAGUCUGCAACUCGACUCCAUGAAGUCGGAAUCGCUAGUAAUCGUGGAUCAGAAUGCCACGGUGAAUACGUUCCCGGGCCUUGUACACACCGCCCGUCACACCAUGGGAGUGGGUUGCAAAAGAAGUAGGUAGCUUAACCUUCGGGAGGGCGCUUACCACUUUGUGAUUCAUGACUGGGGUGAAGUCGUAACAAGGUAACCGUAGGGGAACCUGCGGUUGGAUCACCU